UGGGGAAUUUUGGACAAUGGGCGAAAGCCUGAUCCAGCAAUGCCGCGUGUGUGAAGAAGGCCUUCGGGUUGUAAAGCACUUUUGUCCGGAAAGAAAUGGCUCUGGUUAAUACCUGGGGUCGAUGACGGUACCGGAAGAAUAAGGACCGGCUAACUACGUGCCAGCAGCCGCGGUAAUACGUAGGGUCCAAGCGUUAAUCGGAAUUACUGGGCGUAAAGCGUGCGCAGGCGGUUGUGCAAGACCGAUGUGAAAUCCCCGAGCUUAACUUGGGAAUUGCAUUGGUGACUGCACGGCUAGAGUGUGUCAGAGGGGGGUAGAAUUCCACGUGUAGCAGUGAAAUGCGUAGAGAUGUGGAGGAAUACCGAUGGCGAAGGCAGCCCCCUGGGAUAACACUGACGCUCAUGCACGAAAGCGUGGGGAGCAAACAGGAUUAGAUACCCUGGUAGUCCGCGCCCUAAACGAUGUCAACUAGUUGUUGGGGAUUCAUUUCCUUAGUACGUAGCUAACGCGUGAAGUUGACCGCCUGGGGAGUACGGUCGCAAGAUUAAAAGCUC
rnacentral:rRNA from 1 species